AAUUUUGGACAAUGUGCGCAAGCCUGAUCCAGCCAUGCCGCGUUAGUGAAGAAGGCCUUCGGGAUGAAAAGCUCUUUCGGACUGAAAGUAAUCGCUCAGGCUAAUACCCUGCGCGGAUGUCGAUACCGACAUAAGAAACACCGUCUAACUACGUGCUCGCAGCCGCGGUAAUACGUAGAGUGCGAGCGUUAAUCGUAAUUACUGGGCGUAAAGCGUGCGCAGGCGGUUGAUUAAGACAGGCGUGAAAUCCCCGGGCUUAACCUGGGAACUGCGCUUGUGACUGGUCAGCUAGAGUACGGCAGAGGGGGGUGGAAUUCCACGUGUAGCAGUGAAAUGCGUAGAGAUGUGGAGGAACACCGAUGGCGAAGGCAGCCCCCUGGGCCGAUACUGACGCUCAUGCACGAAAGCGUGGGUAGCAAACAGG
rnacentral:rRNA from 1 species